CAAGGCUGGUGUCGCUGGGACUAAACGGGGCUGGGGUGGGGGGCCACCCCAAGAGCUCAGAGCCUCCUGACUCCUGUGCCCUCUGUCCCAGGUGGAGAUGUUUGGGGUGACAGGCCCUGGGCUGGAGCAGAGCUCACAGCUGCUGGAGGAGUUCCUGUCCCUUCAGAUGGAGAUCUUGACAGAGCUGGGCUUGCACUUCCGGGUCCUGGAUAUGCCCACCCAAGAACUGGGCCUCCCCGCCUACCGCAAGUUUGACAUUGAGGCCUGGAUGCCAGGCCGAGGCCGCUUUGGAGAGGUGAGCCCUGUGC
rnacentral:lncRNA from 1 species